rnacentral:lncRNA from 1 species
GUUCAUUUUGACGCCAUUCAAAGAAUCACAAAGAAUAGUUGGCCUCAAAAAAGCUUCUUUUGUGGUGUUGACAGUUUUUUUUAAAAGCAACGUCGUAGAAAUGUCUAAAUAUUGCAUAUGGGUUAUCAAUUAUCAUCGAAUAAACACAAAAAAGGCAGAUUUUCAAUUCUGCAUUUCGAAGAUGAUUAAGAACAAGUUGUUUGGCAUCGAUGAGCAGCAGUGAUUUCUUCAACAAGAUGGUGUGCCACCAUACUAUGCCCUUCCUGUUCAAGCUUAUUUAAACCAGUUAUUUUUCACAAGAUGGAUUGGAAGAACAAGGCCAAUUGAGUGGCCAGGAAUAUCUCCAGAUUUGAUUCCACUGGACUUGUUCCUUUAGGAUAACUGCAUGGAUAUUUAAAGAGCAAAGUUUAUACCACUGGAACCAAUACUUUGGAUGAACAAAUAAUCAGAAUCCAAGAAGAAGUUGUCAGGAAGAAUUUCAAAAUCAUUGCUGAUAAGCAGCUGCUCAAGCUUUUGAGCGAAAUGUAUGGAUUUAAGAUAGUCAAUCAUUGUGCAACUAAAAUGGGACCAUUACGUUGAUAAUAAAUAUUUCGUCUGAUAUUCAAUGGAACUUCCUUCAGUAGGUCUAUCAAAUUAAAUUCGGAAUAUGAAAAUUGAUGCUGAACGUGACUUUCUACUGUCACAUCUGGGUUAUUAUCAGACCAACAUAAAUUUGAUUAUUAUUUCCACAAUAUGCUGCUGAGAUGUCUCAAUGAUUACACAUACUUGUGAAAUGUAGUUAGGAACCAGUCUUUUUUGGCUGUGCUAUGGAUAGGUACACAAGCGUUUUACCAAGAAUGAUUUCCCAAGAACUUGAAUAAUUCUUUGCGGAACGCAUGUGUAUGUGCAACCUGUACAUUUUGGGAUCUGCUUUUUCGAUCAAAAUGUACUUCUUCCUUAUAACUCUGCAUAUUCUUCUGUGUACUGGAUAUUAUAUAACUGUUUCCACAAUUAUUUGAAGUUGUUGAAACUUCUGUAUAAGAAUCAUUUUUAAAAUUAUAACCAAGAACACAAAUAUUAAUAAUAUAAGUUUCACCCCAUGUUUUGAAUGUCAUGAAUGUAUAUCAUGAUGCUAUCAUGCUUGAGUCAUGAUGCCCAAUGUCCUUAAUAAUUGUUCGAAAAGGACUCGUCUUGGCCAAAGAAAUUAAGAUAAGAAGAUUUGUUGUUAUUUUAUAAUGUAUUAUAUUAUUGAAAUAUGAAAUAUAGAGUAAUUAUUCAUUUGA